rnacentral:tRNA from 1 species
GAGGGUAUAGCUCAGUGGCAGAGGGCAUGCUUAGCAUGCACGAGGUCCUGGAUUCCAUCCCCAGUACUUCCA